AGAAAGAACUGAGUCUUGUAGUUUCAUGUCUGUGACUAAUAGGCUUUUAGAAAGGCUUUGCACAAUAACUACAUUAGAAAUCUUAAUUUUGUACUUUAACACUGAUAACCUUCUCAUUUCCUUUUUCUUUAUUUUAUUUUAAGACAGAACCUCCUUUGUUCUUAAAUUUUUAAAUAGAGUUUGUGUUAACCAUGACUGAUUAAGAUGUUAAGCUUCUUUGAUUGGCUGUUUGAAAGUGAAACGAAAUUCUGCAAGAGGUGUAGGGGAGGAAUUGUGCUAGUGGUGGAAAUUUUGUGAGUCAAGCUUCCUUAAGGACACCUGGUUGCUUGUAAUGUAACUGAAGGCUGCGGAGUGCUGUGCCUUUCACAAGAUUUAGCAGGAAGGGAUAAGUUUUUGUAAUUAGAAAUUGCGACCUAUCAGAUCAGGAGAUCCUUCUAAGCUGUAACCUCUUUAAGAUUGCAGUUUCCUGUCAUAAUUUUUUUAAUUCUUCAUUUUGUCCUGCAAUUUUGUUGGAUAUGAAUACCUGGGCGCUGGUAUAGCACUUCAGUUCUUCGCAUCAAUGGGAAUUUCAAGGAGACUCGUGGAAAAGCUGAGUUCUAUACUGUUCUAGAGGCAGCCUUAUUCAAUAAUCACACCCAAGUCAAAAGAUUCAUUAAGGAAUGGAAGGAACUCUGAAUUUUUAAAAAUGGUGGUUAUCAAGCCUCAUUUUGUCACAGAUAUCUCUAGAAACUAAAAAUGAAAUCUGAUGAAUUCAUCUUAUAGUGUAAUGUCUGAAUAUUUGAUUUGCCAUGUAUCCUAUGGUAAUGAUUUUGAAUCUCUCUAUUUCAGAUUUCUAUAUGCAUUCUUAAAAUUUUUAAAUCUGUUUUUCCCCCUUUCUAAGAAGGAAUUUGAUGGCUUGUGCUGCAGAACAUUCACCUGAGGAGCAUA
rnacentral:misc_RNA from 1 species